ACAAAUGCAAGGAACGGGAGUAUUAGGCCCUGGUGGCAGCCUUCAGAGAGCCGGUUUACGGGGUGCGAGCCGGUGGCCUGCCGGGGGCUGAACUCGCCCGGGAGCAGUGCCGAUGAUAAGUCGGUGCCGUUGAAAGGCGUUAACUUUCAGCAGAGUGGGUAAAUACGGGGGGCUGUGGCGCAGUGGGAGCGCGCUUCCUUGGCAUGGAAGAGGUCGCGGGUUCGACUCCCGCCAGCUCCACCAGUUAUUUACCAAUCAGGGUGGUACCGCGGGAACAAACUCCCGUCCCUAAA
rnacentral:sRNA from 1 species